AGAAGAGGCCAUGGGUUUGGGAGGGGGUGGACAUGGGAGAGGAGGUAGGAGUGGGCAGAGGGAAGAGGGGAACAUUGUAAUUGUAUUUUAAGUGAAUAAAAAGAAAGAGCUUGAAGUGCAGCUCAGUAUUAGACCACAGUGUUAGAACAUAUGUGCAACGCCAUGAGUGGAGCCAAAGCCCCAACCUCAUAAUGGUACACACACACACACACACACACACACACACACACACUAAAGCUUUCUCUUAAAGCUUCUCAGUAGAUGUCUGAGUGUGUAUCACAGACAGAGGUGCACACAGGCCAGGCUUGUGUGGUCCCAGAGGGAAAAUGGACUACGUUGACUGUGCUACCUCUGGCCCCCACGGCAGAGGCAGUCAUUUCUGGAGCAACCGCAUAGAACUCCAUGCACGGGGCCAGCAAGGAAGAAGCAGAGUGUGGCCAACAAAGAGACUCUCCCACUUGCCUGCUGUGGGGCUUAUUAUGACUUAAUAGUGCUUGCUAGCUAUUGCUGGGACCAGUCAGCCUGCGCGCUUCCUGUGGAGGACGGAUGAAUACUCACCGUGAUGGCAACAGCUGUGAGGAGGGCAUCAGGCUGGGGAAGCAUCGGGAACUUGGACGAUGAUUGCGAGUCCACGCAGUCUCAAGUCUCUGGCUUGACUGGCAGCUGUUUGAUUUUGCAGCAGUGCAAAGGAACACAGCAGAAUGCACCCAAAAUGAGUGGAAGGAAGGGCAUAAGAAGACAACAAAACUGGAUGAAACGAGAAAUGGAGUGUGGGAGCAAAAUGAAAGAAAUAAAAUGACGUGUCUCCAAAAACCGAAAUUGUUACUAGAAUAGAACAGAAAAGGCAUAUAAAGCAAAUGCUUUACCCACUGAGCCAUCGGUGACAGAAAACUUCCAACACGACUUUUACUAAACAUCAAGAGUUGGAGCCUAAGGACUAUAUGUGACAUUGUGGCCUAGGAAGAUGGCUAACAAGUGCAAAAGCA